rnacentral:tRNA from 1 species
GUGGGUGUAGCUCAGCCGGUAGAGCACCUGGUUGUGGUCCAGGGGGUCGCGGGUUCGAAUCCCGUCACUCACCCCA